rnacentral:piRNA from 1 species
UCUGCUGUAGACAGCAAGCGUCUCUAGCUGA